GAGUUUGAUCAUGGCUCAAAACGAACGCUGGCGGCAUGCCUAACACAUGCAAGUCGAACGAGACCUUCGGGUCUAGUGGCGCACGGGUGCGUAACGCGUGGGAACCUGCCCUUAGGUUCGGAAUAACUCAGNGAAAUUUGAGCUAAUACCGGAUAAUGUCUUCGGACCAAAGAUUUAUCGCCUUUGGAUGGGCCCGCGUUGGAUU
rnacentral:rRNA from 1 species